rnacentral:misc_RNA from 1 species
AUUAUGGCGCCGUCGUCAAGGUAACUGUCAACAACACUCUCAGACGGACAUGUGACGGAAUAUCUAAAAACAACAAUUAAAAAAAAGUGAAAAGAAGAAAGUAGGAAAGAAACAAUAAUGCCAGUGGCUCAAACUCGCCUGCAGGUAAUGCAGGUAACAAAAUUACUCCAGUGCGUCAGAGAUGGCGAUAAAGAACAAAUUGGUAAACUGUGUGCCAAUGGUGUUCCCCAUUUAAUCAACUAUAAUGAACCAAAUGCUGGAGACACAGCUCUAUCGACAGCAGCAGUAGCUAAUAAAGAUAAUCUAAUAAGCUACCUAUUAGAAUUAGGAGCUCAUCCAGAUGUUGUUGAUUUUCAAGGGAGAACUCCUGCUAUGAGAGCGGCAGAAUACGGACACGUUCAAUGCUUAGAGAGACUAUUGAAACCAGGAGGCGAUGCUCCUGAGAAAAAGAAGAGGAAAGGAGAUGAUGAUGAUGAUGAGCAUUUUGCAAUAGCUGCCGACAUGACUUUUAAAGAUUUAGAAGGAAAAGGAAUCCUUUGGUACUGUAUUAACUCGACUCAAAGACACGAAACAUGCGCUGAAUUAGCUUUGAAGUUUGCUGCUGAAACCAAUAACGUAGAUAAAAAUGGCAAUCAUGUGUUUGUUCAUGCUUGUGAAACAGCAUCGGAGAAUGAAGAAAUUUGCAUUAAAAUGCUCCAAAGCGGUUCUGAUGCCAAUAGUAAAAAUGAGAAAUCGAAUAGGACAGCUUUAAUGGCAGCAAGCAAAAGUGGUAGUCAGAGGGUAGUUAGAGCUAUUUUAGAGAGAGGUGGAGAAGUUGACGUUCAGAUGUUAAAGCUAAAAGUAACAGCCGCCCACGAAGCUGCUAGGGGAGGCUUCUUUCAAUGUUUGGUUACACUUCAUGCUUACGGAGCGCAUUUUGACGUAUAUGAUGAUCGAGGAAAUUCACCUAUGCAUUUAGCUGCUCUUAAAGGAAGUGGACCGUGUUGUAAAUAUUUGGCUCAGAGAGGAUGCAACCCAAAGCCCAAAAAUAACGAAGGGAAUACAGCUAGAAUUAUAGCUAAAGAGGAAGGUCAUAAAGAGGCUAUUAAAGAAGUAAGAAAAGGGGAAAAGAUCUUUGGUAAAACAGGAAAAAAUAAUGAUCCGUGGAUAUUAGCUUUAUACGAUUUCUGCGUUGAAAGAACUGAACAACUGACCGAUCUGUAUAAUAGGCUAGAUGUUGAUGGGCAUGGAACAGUUGCUAAGGAAGAUUUUGUUGAUGGUCUUGAGAAUAUUGGUGCUCCAAUGCCCUUGGAAGCGGAUAUGAAAAAAAUACUCCAAAGUCAUGAUAAAGAAGGCAGAGUAGAUUUUAAUUUAUUCUUAACAGGCAAAAAGUACGUCAACAAACAAUAUCUUAUGUCCGCCUUUGAGCCGAAGAAAAAGAAGAAGAAAGGUAAAGGAAAAGGGAAAAAGGGGAAAACAAAGAUUCCAUUACCAAUAUGCACUCAAACUGAGGGACCAAGAACGCUGGGUGGAGGGCCCCCAGAAGUUUUUGUAGAGGAGCACUUAGUCCAUACAGAUGUAGGUCGAUUUGAUCGAGAUCGUCCUCCUAAACAUCCACUUCAAGACGAUUCUGCUUGGUAUCUGCAUAAACCUGAUAAAGCUCAUAUGAAUAUUAUUCAGGCAACUGUUCAUAGGCAUUAUGAUACUGUUCAAGAUGCUUUAAGUAAAGGUGUUCCAGUCGAUAUUACUGAUAAAUACUACAAAACUCCCUUAAUGGUGGCCUGUCAAAACGGGGAUUUAGAUAUGGCUCGAUGGUUAAUAGAGAAAGGAGCUAAUGUCAAUGCUUUUGACAAUUUUAAGUGGACACCAUUACACUUUGCCUGCCACUCAGGAAAGAAGGAUCUCGUUGAAUUUCUCUUGGACAAUGGGGCAAAUUUGGAAUCUACCAGUCUCUGUGGUGCUACACCAAUAAUGAGAGCAAUCGAAAGCUGUAGACCAGGGUUGGUUCAAUUCCUAAUCGACAGAGGAGCGAAAAUGUUGAAUGUCACAAAGCACGACGACAAUGUGUGUGAUAUUGCUGCAUCGUUCGGCGAUAUGAGAGUCUAUGAUAUUGUCAAAGAGAAAUACGAUAGCGUCCCAAAACCAAAGGAUAAUAAGAAGAAAGGUGGUAAAAAGUCUGCUCCUGCAAAGAGACCGGCGUCUAACGCUGGCCAGGCUGGCAAGGCUUAAACGAUGACACGAAACUCUGAAGUAUGCAAGUGUUUGUCAUAUUUUCUCCUUUUUGAUUAUAAUAACAUAAUGAUUGCUCUAUCUUUUGCACAUUAGUAUCAUUCAUUCCCUGACAAAUGCUUGCAUACUUUCUUGUAGUUUUUAGUUAGUAUGCCAGCAUUUGUUGAACAAUAUUAUGCAGCUUCUAAAUGGAUUAAUUUUAGGUGGCGACCGGCGGUGAAACUGGAAAAGAGAGUCCUAUACUUGAAGCUUUACACUCGCAUAGAAAAGGCUCAAUCUUAAGAGCAGCUUCCGCAUUAGCAGGCGGACUGGAAGAGAAAGAAGAUAUUUCUUACGUACCAAAAUCAGUAUGGACAAAAUUACCAACCUCUGAAGAAUUAAUUGCCGCUCGGGUCGUUAGAAGAGAACGAUUUAGUUGGAGAGUGGACUUUGAAGAUUUUCGUAUGCCUUUUCAACAGAAUGUCCAUGAAAAAAUACAAAGUAUCGAAGUCGAAUAAUAAUUGUGCCUCAAAUCCCAGGUUGCCAAUUUUUAUAACCCGCAUAAUAAACGAAACAAUUGAAAUCA